UCUAGUACGGCGAGUGCCGCAGCAAUAGCUCAAAUUUGAAAGCUGGCGUCUUCGGCGUCCGCAUUGUAAUCUCAAGAAGUGUUUUCCGUUUCGGACCAUGCCUAAGUCCCUUGGAAAAGGGCAUCAUAGAGGGUGAUAAUCCCGUACAUGGCAUGGAGCGCCCGUAGCUUUGUGAUACGCUUUCUAAGAGUCGAGUUGUUUGGGAAUGCAGCUCAAAAUGGGUGGUAAAUGCCAUCUAAGGCUAAAUAUUGGGGAGAGACCGAUAGCGAACAAGUACAGUGAUGGAAAGAUGAAAAGAACUUUGAAAAGAGAGUUAAACAGUACGUGAAAUUGCCAAAAGGGAAGGGUAGGAGGUCAGAGAUGCGUCUUGGGAUUCAGCCUUGCUUUUGCCUGGUGUUUUCCCAGAUUGCAGGCCAACGUCGGUUUUGGGCACUGGAGAAGGGUAGGAGGAACGUGGCACCUCUCGGGGUGUGUUAUAGCCUCCUACUGGAUACAGCGACCGAGACCGAGGAACGCAGCGUACUCGUAAGAGCGGGCCUUUUGGCACCUUUACGCUUAGGGCGUUGGCAUAAUGGCCCUCUACCACCCGUCUUGAA
rnacentral:rRNA from 1 species